GAUGAACGCUGGCGGCGUGCCUAAUACAUGCAAGUCGAGCGAACAGAUGAGGAGCUUGCUCCUCUGACGUUAGCGGCGGACGGGUGAGUAACACGUGGAUAACCUACCUAUAAGACUGGGAUAACUUCGGGAAACCGGAGCUAAUACCGGAUAAUAUAUUGAACCGCAUGGUUCAAUAGUGAAAGACGGUUUUGCUGUCACUUAUAGAUGGAUCCGCGCCGCAUUAGCUAGUUGGUAAGGUAACGGCUUACCAAGGCAACGAUGCGUAGCCGACCUGAGAGGGUGAUCGGCCACACUGGAACUGAGACACGGUCCAGGCUCCUACGGGAGGCAGCAGUAGGGAAUCUUCCGCAAAGGGCGAAAGCCUGACGGAGCAACGCCGCGUGAGUGAUGAAGGUCUUCGGAUCGUAAAACUCUGUUAUUAGGGAAGAACAAAUGUGUAAGUAACUAUGCACGUCUUGACGGUACCUAAUCAGAAAGCCACGGCUAACUACGUG
rnacentral:rRNA from 1 species